CCGAAUUCGAUUAAACUCAUAACUUCUAGUAGGGACUCACUCCCCACUAGGGCGAUCAGAUAGGCACAUCCACAAAACAAAAUACGGCAUAACACAAUAUAUUUGGAAUUUAAUCACAUAACUCAUACUUGAAAGAUAUUGCGUAAAUUUAAAAGUAAGCCUACACAAUAAUGUAGGAUGGAAAGCCCACCUCAAAUGCUUAACUCCUCAAACCACUUUCAGUUCCCAACCGCAAUAUCGUGCACAAGUUCACCAUUUUUGAAACCGCAUGAUAUGCAAAAUUAGACUUUACUAAAUAAAUAAAUUUACAAUGCAUGCAUCCUAAGUGUGUGUUCAAAUUACCCUUCAUCAUUACUACAACUAAACAUACUGAUGUAAGAUAAAUUUCAACAUCAGUUCAAAAAUUAUUCAUGUUCUUGGGCUGGAGGAAACAAAUAGCUCCACCAAACAACCAAAAGUUCAACCCAUUACCAAAACUCCAAACUGCCGUUGAAACACAAUUAUAAUCAAACAAUUACCAAAACUCCAAACUGCCGUUGAAACACAAUUAUAAUCAAACAAAAUAAAGAAGCCAGAAAUUAAUAUUAUACUCCCUAUUCAACACAUUGCAAACAAUUAAAAAAAAGAAAGUAAGUACUGCAAACUCCCAGCCAUCACAACGCAUUUGUCUUCAUUCUCAUAACCCUCUCUCUGUAACUCACUUUCUUUCUAACAUGUGCUCCCCAGAACCACCAAACUCGGCUCCCACCAUAUCUCUCUCAAUUCAAAUUCUACAAACAUACACCAAAUUCGCAAUUUCCCACACAAAACAGAAAUUACAGAUCCCAAAACAGCGCACACCCUCAACUCUCUCUCACCGUCUGCUGUCUCCGUUCACUAACUGCGGCCGCUGCCUCUCCUUUUCACCGUCGCCGCGGUCUGCCGUCACUGCGGAAUCCAGCAGCCGCUGCCCUCUCUUUUCUCAAGCAGGGUUUAUUAACGAAUUGGCAAACUAUACUAUUCAAAGAGGGCCAUAGCACUUCAUCGGGAAAUUAAAGAUUAGAGUUUGAACAUUGAAAAGGACUCUCAAAAGAUUUCAAAGUGUUGUAUUAAUUUCAUGGGAGUGAACUAAUAUGAAUAUGAAAAAUGCUAUGGAGAAAGAAACGUGGGACUUGAGUAUACCUCUAAUUUGAUGGAUCAAAAUUUGUGGAACAACAAAUUCUGGAAUUCACGGCUGCCCUACUCCUUUUGCUUUCUCAGAAUUUGGAGGAAAGGUAAAAUCCUUUUGCUUUCUCAGAAUUUGGAGGAAAGGUAAAAUUUAUUUGAAACUGGUAUGGACUAGUUGAGAUAUAUAUGGGCGGGAUUGUGAGAAAUAUAUUUGACCAAAAUUUGACUGAUUGACUAGAAUGUAUAAUUAAUAUUUUGGACUUCUGAAAAAAAAUUCCAUAAACUCUCAAAAUAAAAUUAAAUGAUAUUUGGCUAAAAUUCGACGAUCAUCCAAAAACUAACUUAAAAGAAAUAGGAAAAGUCGGGGCGUCACAUGAGUAAUCGAAACAAACAAAAACAGAGACCCCGUUUAACUAGCUACAAACAAUAUAGAUUUAAGGCAUACUAACAAACUCUAUAUAUAUUGUUUGUUGUAUUUCAUUUUAUUCACACCACUCAUAGAAGUUUUAUUUUAUUGAAAUAUGUUGCAACUUUCUCCAUUUUUUAUCCAAUUAUUAAUUUCGUAUU